AAAUCUCUUCUCCUAAAACGCUCUCAAGCACUCAAUACUCUAACAGCUGCCUACCCUUAUCCGGUUGUUAUCUCACCGGAGUCCAUGGCUUCUCAGGCAAUAUAUGGCCUGUAAUCACCUUCUUUCAUCCCAAACCAUGGGUGUUCGAGAUUUAUUGGUCUGACCUCGAUGGGGUCCAUUCAGAUCCUCCAUAGAACUGUGGUUAUAUGGCCUCUCCGGCCUUGGUCUUACGUAUUCGAGCUUUAGAAGGCUAGCUAUGGCCAUCUCCGACUCCAGACCGGACUUUCUUC
rnacentral:lncRNA from 1 species